rnacentral:rRNA from 1 species
UACGUAGGGUGCAAGCGUUGUCCGGAAUUAUUGGGCGUAAAGAGCUCGUAGGCGGUUUGUCGCGUCUGCUGUGAAACCCGAGGCUCAACCUCGGGCCUGCAGUGGGUACGGGCAGACUAGAGUGCGGUAGGGGAGAUUGGAAUCCUGGUGUAGCGGUGGAAUGCGCAGAUAUCAGGAGGAACACCAAUGGCGAAGGCAGAUCUCUGGGCCGUAACUGACGCUGAGGAGCGAAAGCAUGGGGAGCGAACAGG